rnacentral:rRNA from 1 species
GAUGAACGCUGGCGGCGUGCCUAUCCAUGCAAGUCGAGCGAACAGACGAGGAGCUUGCUCCUCUGACGUUAGCGGCGGACGGGUGAGUAACACGUGGAUAACCUACCUAUAAGACUGGGAUAACUUCGGGAAACCGGAGCUAAUACCGGAUAAUAUAUUGAACCGCAUGGUUCAAUAGUGAAAGACGGUUUUGCUGUCACUUAUAGAUGGAUCCGCGCCGCAUUAGCUAGUUGGUAAGGUAACGGCUUACCAAGGCAACGAUGCGUAGCCGACCUGAGAGGGUGAUCGGCCACACUGGAACUGAGACACGGUCCAGACUCCUACGGGAGGCAGCAGUAGGGAAUCUUCCGCAAUGGGCGAAAGCCUGACGGAGCAACGCCGCGUGAGUGAUGAAGGUCUUCGGAUCGUAAAACUCUGUUAUUAGGGAAGAACAAAUGUGUAAGUAACUAUGCACGUCUUGACGGUACCUAAUCAGAAAGCCACGGCUAACUACGUG